rnacentral:rRNA from 1 species
AUUGAACGCUGGCGGCAUGCCUUACACAUGCAAGUCGAACGGUAACAGGUCUUCGGACGCUGACGAGUGGCGAACGGGUGAGUAAUACAUCGGAACGUGCCCAGUCGUGGGGGAUAACUACUCGAAAGAGUAGCUAAUCCCGCAUACGAUCUGAGGAUGAAAGCGGGGGACCUUCGGGCCUCGCGCGAUUGGAGCGGCCGAGGGCAGAUUAGGUAGUUGGUGGGAUACAAGCUUACCAAGCCGACGAUCUGUAGCGGGUCUGAGAGGACGACCAGCCACACUGGGACUGAGACACGGCCCAGACUCCUACGGGAGGCAGCAGUGGGGAAUUUUGGACAGUGGGCGAAAGCCUGAUCCAGCAAUGCCGCGUGCAGGAUGAAGGCCUUCGGGUUGUAAACUGCUUUUGUACGGAGCGAAAAAGCUUCUCCUAAUACGAGAGGCCCAUGACGGUACCGUAAGAAUAAGCACCGGCUAACUACGUGCCAGCCGCCGCCGUAACAC